rnacentral:rRNA from 1 species
AUACGGAUGGUGCGAGCGUUGUUCGGAAUUACUGGGCGUAAAGGGCGCGUAGGCGGCGAUGUAAGUCAAAUGUGAAAGUCCUCGGCUUAACCGGGGAAGUGCAUCUGAAACUGCAUUGCUUGAGUACGGGAGAGGAAAGUGGAAUUCCCGGUGUAGAGGUGAAAUUCGUGGAGAUCGGGAGGAAUACCGGUGGCGAAGGCGACUUUCUGGACCAAUACUGACGCUGAGGCGCGAAAGCGUGGGGAGCAAACAGGAUUAGAUACCCUAGUAGUCC